GCAACUCCGUUCUGCUAGAAACAGCACUUUUCUCUUCCUGUACAAAAUGAAUCAAGUUUGUAAGUGACGUUCUGUCGUAGCGUGACGAGGGUCCCUGCUGCUGCGGUCGCUCCUCUCCUGCUUCAAACUGGCCCAGGUCAUAAAAAAGGAGAGUUCUAUUGGGCAAACAGGCUUCUUUGGGCCCUAAAACUAAAGUGUACAGUGUGUAGCCGCCAUAACCAGCAGCAGAGGCUUAGCUGCCGCUGUUCCUGAUGCGCAGGACAAGGAGCCGUCCACUGACUUGGCCUCUUGCAGCCGCAGCUGUCGUUCACGAAGCCCCUCCAGCUCAGCGUGUUUCAGUCCUCUCUGCUGAGGGGGGUUUUAACCUCGGCGAUGCUGAGCCAGAGCGCAGGAGAAAAACACUGGAGAACGGUGAACUGACAGGGAAACAAACAUGGACGAAGCUACAGAGCAGCAAAAGGCAACAUGUUCCUCACACUUUAGCUUUGCAGAGCAGCAUUGGGCAACAGAAAACAGAGAGCGUCCUUCAGGCCUCAGGACCUCAGCAGCUGUGUCAGCAAGCAUCCAGCCUGCAGAGGGGGUCUUUGAUCAACACACGGAGUCCCUACAAGCUGUUUUGCCGCUGACCCUGACCUCUGACCUUUGCGGAGCUCGAAGAACGCAGAGUGUCCCUACUGGGAUCAAUGGGGAACUACAGGAGUUCGCUUUAGUUCUGCUUGACAGUUUUCAACUGAAGACGGAACAGAACUGAGUGAACGCUUCACAUUCUCUGCUGCUCUGAUGGCAACUGCUACAGCAACUGAACUCUAUGUAUGCUAAUCAACAAAUGGACAUCAGAAUAAUAAAAUAAUAAUAAUGUUGUAUGAUACA
rnacentral:lncRNA from 1 species